GAUGAACGCUGGCGGCGUGCUUAACGCAUGCAAGUCGAACGAUGAAGCCCAGCUUGCUGGGUGGGUUAGUGGCGAACGGGUGAGUAACACGUGAGUAACCUGCCCUUUACUCUGGGAUAUGCCUUGAAAACUGGGUCUAAUACCGGGUAUGAGCGCCGCCCGCAUGGGGGGUGUUGGAAAGAUUUAUCGGUUUUGGAUGGACUCGCGGCCUAUCAGCUUGUUGGUGUGGUAAUGGCUCACCAAGGCGACGACGGGUAGCCGGCCUGAGAGGGUGACCGGCCACACUGGGACUGAGAAACGGCCCAGACUCCUACGGGAGGCAGCAGUGGGGAAUAUUGCACAAUGGGCGCAAGCCUGAUGCAGCGACGCCGCGUGAGGGAUGACGGCCUUCGGGUUGUAAACCUCUUUCAGUAGGGAAGAAGCGAAAGUGACGGUAACUGCAGAAGAAGCACCGGCUAACUACGUG
rnacentral:rRNA from 1 species